GAGACAAGCAUAUGACUACUGGCAGGAUCAACCAGGUAGCAUUCUACGGGAYGCCGACACCCGCAUGAGCCCUGCCGAGCCGCGAGGCCGCGGGCCUAAAGACGGGUGCGGCGGUCGUCCGUCUCGAUGGACAAAAUGCGUUGCUUGAUCGGAUGGAGGGCCUCCGAUGAGCCACCCACCCGCAGCACGUAACAUUCCGAAUCCGAGAGCACGGGCAAAGAGCCUCAUGCGCCGAGGCAGCCGAGCAACUGGGCUAGGCGUGCCGGGAACACGAGGCUUGCCUGUCGUCCGACCCACCACCCGUGAGGGCGCGGGACGGAGAGAAACAAACGAGCCACCGAAUUCCUUCCGAUAGGUAAGCAACACAGGAUACCGAA
rnacentral:misc_RNA from 1 species